AUAGGGAAAAAAACCUAUGUGACUAAAGUCACCUAGUUCUUGCGGAGCGUUAACAGGACGGUUUGAAUCUAAAAAAAGUUGUUAUUGGUCGAGGAGCGUUGGACGGUUGAUCGAGAAGGAGAGUGAGUCGAGAGGUCAGAGUUAAUCGAGGAGUCGAAGAGUAAAGUGGUUAGCGCUAUCGAGUUGCGAGAGGUGUUAGCGUUGUUGAGAGUGGAGUUGUAGCAUUGUCGAAUUGCGGUAGAAAAAGAUAAAAUGGCAAACGUUGAGGACGAACGAUUGUCGGGUAAAGAGGGUUCGAUGCUGGAGGAGCUGAGAAGUAGGCUUGCACGUUUGAAUCUGCUGAUAUCUGGUUCGAAAUCAGUGCUGAUGGCCAGGCUGAACCGAGCGUGUAAGACUGGACAAUCGACUUCAAAGGGAUCGAAGCGCGAUGAAGAAUCAACAAACCAGCGAGACCUAAGGAGCGAGCAGAGAGCUGAGCGCAAUCAAGAUGGAGACGAAGACCUCGAGAAGCUGAGGACGAAGGAGUUGAGAGCGCGCCUCGCUAGCUUGGGGUUAAAGGUCACAGGGAGAAAAUCCGAAUUACGCGCAUGGCUACAGGCGGCCCUGGAAGGGAACAAUAUAUCGUCGGAAGAAGAGAGCGACGACAAAAGUGACGAUGAAGAAGAUAGGAAAGAGGUAAUAAAACAUAAGAGAGGUAUGCGAGCGAUGUGCUCGGACCGCGAUGAAUAUCGCCAAAAGGCAUGCACCGUCUCGGUAUUAAGCUUUAAAGAUGUCGAAGACGCACUAGAAUUGUUUAGCGGCGACAAAGGUGAAAACGUGGAGCGAUGAUUCGAAUCAUUCGAAGAAGUCGCGGACACGUGCAUGUGGUCGGACGGUCAGAAGGCAGUCUACGCGAGGAAGCUGCUGAGGGGAUCGGCGAAAAUAUUCGUCAGCUUCGAGUGCCAUGCCAGGACUUGGCAUGAGCUGAAGAAGGGACUAAUCAGAGAGUUCUUCAGAAAGUCCAACAGUAGGCAAGUACAUCAAAAGCUUAGAGAGACGAGAAAGAAAAGCGACGAGGCGUGUUUGGCCUACAUGUAUCGCAUGCUGGAAAUAGCCAAUCAUGCCGAUAUAGAGGAAGAAGCCAAAGUAGAAUACAUCAUAGACGGGAUAAUAGACGAAGAAGUUCAUAAGUCUAUGCUGUAUGGUGCUGCAUCCAUCAAGGAGUUAAGAAAGAGGCUAAUCGCGUACGAGGAGCAGAAGAGCCGAAGGACGAAGUCGAUUGCGAAGCCGGCCAGAGUUGAGAAAAACAAGAGUCCCAGCCAAUCUGGUACGAAGAAGACGCGAUGCUACAACUGCGACGAUGAAGAACACGUGUGAGCAGAGUGUCCGAACAAGUCGAGGGGACCUAAAUGUUUUAAAUGUAGAGGGUACGGACACAUCGCAUCGAGGUGCGGCGAUUUAGGUAAGUCAUCUAAAAAAGUUUACAAUGCGCGGAAAUUGCUGCAGGCGCGGUGUAAAAGUGUCGGAAUUGGAAAUUUCGAACUGAGCGCGCUAAUAGACACCGGUAGCGAAUUAACUUUGAUGCGGACAGAUCAGUAUAUAAGAAUCGGAGCGCCGAAGUUAAAUCGAGACAUUGUUGAAUUUCACAGUAUCGGGUCUAAGAGAAAUUUUACGCUCGGGAAAUUUUCAACAAAUAUCGUUAUAGACGGUGUGUCGUAUGGUAUAACGAUACACGUAGUUCCGAACACUAUGAUGCAACGCUCGUUGUUAAUAGGCACAGACUUCCUAGAUACCGUCGAGAUAAACAUGAAGGGUGCAGAUAUCUCCAUUCGUAAAAUAAAGGACGAAAAUUUCGAUGGGUUUCCGGAGGUCCUUAAAAUAGACAUAGAGACGGAAGCGCGUGAGGUGGAUUUAUCUCAUGUCGACAACGUGCAACAUAAGUAGACAAUAGAAAAUUUGAUCCGAGGUUAUAGGCCACAGAAAACGCGCGAAGUAGGAAUCAAGAUGAACAUAAUACUGCAGGACGAUAUUCCAAUUUACGAAAGGCCGCGAAGACUAUCUCCGCAAGACAAGGUCGAAGUCGAUAAACAGAUCAAAACGUGGCUGGAGGACGGAAUAAUACGCCAGUCACAUUCCGUCUACGCCAGUCCAAUCGUUUUGGUAAAAAAAAAGGACGGCUCGACUAGAAUUUGCGUCGACUAUAGAUAGCUAAAUGGAAAGGUAGUAAAAGACUGCCCUUGAUCGAAGACCAAUUAGAUUCGUUACAAGGCUCGAGGGUAUUUAGUACGUUGGAUCUUUGGAACGGAUUUUUUCAUGUUCCUGUUGGGGAGAGUAGCAGAAAGUAUAAGGCGUUCGUAGUCCCCACAGGCUAGUAUGAAUUUAUUAAAAUGCUGUUUGGUCUAUGCAAUUCGCCGGCUGUUUUUCAAAAAUUCAUAAAUGCCGUUUUUAAAGAAUUGAUCGCGACAGGGGUGGUGCUGACGUACAUGGACGAUCUGAUUGUGCCGUCGACUGACCUCUCGAGCGGAAGAAAAACUGAAAACAGUAUUGCAUGUCGCUAGCGAACACAGACUACUCGUAAACUGGAGUAAGUGUCGAUUUCUGCAAACGAGAAUAGAGUAUUUGGGCUACAUCGUCGAGGGCGGUAACAUUCAGCCAUCUGAAUGCAAAACCAGGGCCGUCGCUAAUUUGCCGGAGCCCCAAUCUGCUAAGGAUGUUCAAAGUUUCCUGGGCCUAGCGGGAUAUUUUAGGAAGUUUGUGCCCCGAUACUCUGACAUCGCGAGACCAUUAUCAGAUUUACUGAGAAAAGAUGUCCCAUUCAGAUUCGAGUCGCGCGAGCGGGAAGCGUUUGGAAGUCUAAAAGUGGCGUUAAGUGAGAAGCCAGUAUUAAAAUUGUAUCGUGUUGGAGCGGAGACUCAGUUGCAUACGGAUGCGUGCAGCGUGGCAUAUGGUGCGAUCUUGAUGCAGCGCGACAGCGGGGACAAUGUUUUUCACCCCGUAUACUAUUCGAGCGGAAAGAUCUCACCGGCUGAAGAGAAGUACACCAGUUACGAACUUGAGGUUCUGGCCAUCGCGAAAGCACUGAAGAAAUUCCGUGUCUAUUUACUAGGCAUCCCGUUUAAAAUCAUUACACGUUGUCGGGCGUUCGCAUUGACGAUGCGGAAAAAGGACUUGUGCGUACGUGUUGCGAGGUGGGCGAUCCUCCUAGAGGAGUUCGAUUACAAGGUGGAGCAUAGACCCGGGAACAGUAUGAUACAUGUCGAUGCGUUGAGUCGAAAUACCCUACCCGAGGUCAUGCUAAUAGACGAGGACGAACGAGGGAUGUUUGUACGGUUGAGAGAAGCUUAGUUGCAAGAGAACAACCUGCGGCAGAUCCGAGAAAAUAUCGAACAGCAUGAAGCCGACGGGUACGCCCUAAAGAACGGGGUUUUAUAUCGAGAAAUAAAAGACGCAUCGCUAUUGGUCGUGCCAAAGUCGAUGCAAACUCAAAUAGUUCGACGAGCUCAUGAACGUGGCCACUUCGGCAUCACCAUGCGUGAGAAAGUAGAAAAAAUGGUGCAGAGCUGCAUCGACCGUAUCCUUGAGGAGAGAAAGAAAGGGACGAAGGAGGGAUUGUUGAACGACAUCGAAAAAGGGAAGUUGCCGCUCGACACCUAUCAUGUCGAUCAUAUUGGGCCAUUACCCACUACGAAGAAAAGCUACCGGUAUAUCUUUGUGGUAGCUGACGCUUUCACCAAGUUCGUCUGGCUGUACCCUACCAAAUCAACGGGUUCUGCAGAAAUUAUCAGUCGUUUGGAGAAGCAGUCUGUGUGUUUUGGGAAUCCACAAAGAAUUAUUUCCGAUCGUGGGACGGCGUUUACAGCUGGUGUCUUUGAGAAUUAUUGCAAUAAGAAAUGUAUAGAGCAUGUAUGGAUUACGACUGGAAUUCGGCGGGCCAACGGUCAGGUAGAAAGGGUGAAUGGGAUGCUUGUCCCAUUGUUGGAGAAGUUAUCUGCACCAACACCAGGCGAGUGGUUCAGACACCUGGAGAAAGCGCAGAGAUACCUAAAUGCAACUCCCAGCAGAAGCACCAAUGUUACUCCGUUGCAGUUGUUGUUUGGAACGCAGAUGAGAACGCAGGACGAUCCGCAGAUCAGGUAGCUGGUUGAAGACAAAUGGGCCAAUGUUCCAAGAAGAGCAGGAUCAAUUGCGCGGAAUAGCAAGGGGACGGUUCGAGGAGAUCCAAAUCCAAAACAAGCGAACGUUCAGCAAGAGGCGCAGGAAGGCAACGAUAUAUAAGACGGGGGAUCUGGUGGCGAUCGAGAGGACGCAGGGCGGUCCUGGGUUAAAGCUGCAUUCGAAGUUCCUCGGACCGUACCGCGUGGUAAAAGUCCUGCGGAAUAACCGCUACAUAGUGCAACGAGAAGGCGAACACGAGGGGCCGCGUACAACUUCCACUGCAACCGACCACAUGAAGUGGUCGAACGUUGUUGUUAGUGAUGUAAGUGAGACCAGUGAUGAUGAGCACAUCUGAGCGCAGAUGUGAUUGUCAGGAAUGGCAGAAUGUAGUAUCGUGAGGAAAAAGCUUGGUUAGAAACUGACCAAAACAAAGUCGCCUGUUUUUCGGUCGUUAGUUUACACAGGGAAAAAAAACCUAUGUGACUAAAGUCACCUAGUUCUUGCGGAACGUUAACAGGACGGUUUGAAUCUAAAAAAAGUUGUUAUUGGUCGAAGAGCGUUGGACAGUUGAUCGAGAAGGAGAGUGAAUCGAGAGGUCAAAGUUAAUCCAGGAGUCGGAGAGUAGAGUGGUUAGCGUUGUCGAGUUCCGUGAGUUACUAGCGUAGCUGAGAGAUUGAGUUGUUGGCAUUGUUCAGUUGAGAGAGUGGUCGAAUUCGAGUGAGAUUGUUACUUUUAGUUCCAUAUUAAACAAUCAUCGUUCUCUGUCUCAUUAAUAUCUAUAUAAUUAAUUUAUUGUAAAUAAAUUACAAAUAAUAAAUAGUAUCAGAAAAAAAUUUAUAUCUAAAUUUCCGCGAUACUACAAUAAUAAUAUUAUAUUAUAUUAAAAACAAUAUGUAACAUAUAGAUAUAGAGAGAUAUCCAUAUAAUAUAUAGUAAAGUAUAUUAUCGCUAUUGUUUUAGGAGGUUGUUACAGGUUUAUAUUAAACUAAUCAUUUCUCGAAUCAAAUACUUGUAUACUCUUCUGUAGAGAAUCAAAAACUGCAUCGAAUCGCGUCUAAAGAAAUGUAUCGUAUCAUUUACAAAAACAAAGACAUCACCCUCGAGUCUCGGAGGUGCAUCCACCUAGAAAAGAACUGCGACUAUGAGUCAGAUAGCUGUCUCGAAAUAGGACAAAUUCUAUCUGAAAAACUUUUUCCGAAUAACGUACAGCUUGUAUUUUACGAGAUUAUUUAUCGUAAUUCCAUGUCAUUUUUAUACGACAUUAUUUUAUAUUUUACUAGAUAAUUCUAUAAAAAAUUAUGCAAUUUUUUCAUUUCAUAUUUUGUAUAUUAUAGUGAUCCGAGUCUGUUUCGGAAUUGUAGCAAAUUAUUCUUACAAGAUAGUGAAAUAUUGUAAGAAUGCGGAUCAGCAUGUUAAAAAGAGCAUCUAAUAAUGACAUAUUUAUUUUAACGAAAAACAACAAUUGAUAUCUGACACUGGCGUAUCAAAAACAGGCUAUAUAUUCUGUCUUUAUAUAUUGUUAACACUGUUAUAAAGUAUUGCGAGGAAAAGAAAAGUGUGAAACAAGGCGAAUAAAAAAAUCUGUUUAGUUCAAAUGGUGACCGAAAAACAAUCGAGGUCGCCACUGUAGCUAUAUAAAAAGGGGCCCGAUUCCCGGCGGAGCCAGAGCAUCGUCUGACGUAGACACGUAAACUACGCAGAUCGGUGCAGUCCAAUAUUGAAAUUCGAAAUUUUUUUGAAGACUUGCGGAACAUGGAGAUCUUACAACAUACGAACGAUCGGUUCCAAGAAGGGGUUCUUGUCCAGGUGGUACGAGUCGAAUCACUUACCACCAUGUGGGUCCGUUUGGUUGGAUGGCCCAAGAUAACCCAAACGCUCAAUCUGGAGAUGCUGCAGCAUCCCAUGAAAAACUUGCCAAAGGCGAAAAGUUUGAGGCCAGGCAUGCUCGUUGCCGUGCUGGCAAAUUUUGAAAGUUCUACUUUCUGAGACAGAGCUAUACUUUUACAACAAACGACGACGGGUUACACCGUCUUUUUAAUCGACUGGGGGAUAGAAACCUACCAAACCCUCAGUUCGAUCCGUUUGCUGCCACGCAAAUUUGCAUCGAUGGCACCAUGCGCCAAGAAGAUCCGCCUGCUAGGCGUGCAGGAGCAAGCGGAGGAAGCACUGAAACACCGUGUGGCGCAAGUUACAAUGUUGAAACGGACAGGAUGCCUGAUGAGCAUCAACUCUUCUCCAGGAGAAGAAUUGACAGCGAGGUUACUGUUGGACUGGGAGUCGGGAGAAUCGCCCAGAGACAUGGGAGCACAUUGGUUGAAACUGGGAUACCUCGAUCCCCAAUAAUCGAUACUCCUGCCAGACUCUUUUUUUCUAUGUAUAGUAAUUCUUGUAUGUAUGGUUUUGUAUGUAUGGUUCUAUGUACAGUUUUAUGUGGAUAUUUAUAUUUUUCUAUAUAUAUUAGUACUCAAUUCUAUAGUCAUAGUUAAGACUGUUAGUGAAUAAAAACUAAUGAAAGCUUAAAA